rnacentral:rRNA from 1 species
UCAUUUCUUAAAUUAUUUAAACUUGAGUAGUAUUAGUUAAUUUCUUGAAACUUAAAGAAUUUGGCGGUAUUUUAUUCUUAUCAGAGGAACCUGUUAUUGUUGAUUGAUAAUCCACGUUGUAACUUACUUAAAUAAAUUGUUUAUAUAUCGCCGUUGUUGAUGAUUUUAGUAGAAUUGAUUAAUUUUCUAUUUUUUAUUUUAAUUUAAUUCAGGUCAAGGUGUAGCUUAUGUUUAAGUGAUAAUGGGUUACAAUAUCUUAUUGGUAUACGAAUUAUAAUAUAUAAUAUAUUAAAUGAAGGUGGAUUUGGUAGUAAUUUUUUGUAGAUUGUGAUUAUGAAAUUGUUCUAGAAUAUGU